AAAAGUGCUUACAGUGCAGGUAGUGUGUUGGUAUCUACUGCAGUGGAAGCACUUCUAGC
rnacentral:pre_miRNA from 1 species